GAUGAACGCUGGCGGCGUGCCUAAUACAUGCAAGUCGAGCGGACGGACGAGAAGCUUGCUUCUCUGAUGUUAGCGGCGGACGGGUGAGUAACACGUGGAUAACCUACCUAUAAGUCUGGGAUAACUUCGGGAAACCGGAGCUAAUACCGGAGAAUAUCUUGAACCGCAUGGUUCAAAAGUGAAAGACGGUCUUGCUGUCACUUAUAGAUGGAUCCGCGCUGCAUUAGCUAGUUGGUAGGGUAACGGCUUACCAAGGCAACGAUGCAUAGCCGACCUGAGGGGGUGGUCGGCGACCCGGGAGCUGGAACGCGGUCCAGACGCCUACGGGAGGGAGCAGUAGGGUAUCUGCCGCAGUGGGCGAAAGCCUGGCGGAGCAACGCCGCGUGAGUGAUGAAGGUCUUCGGUUCGUAAAACUCUGUUAUUGGGGAAGAACAUAUGUGUAAGUAACUGUGCACAUCGUGACGGUACCUAAUCAGAAAGCAACGGCUAACUACGUG
rnacentral:rRNA from 1 species